GAUGAAGAACGUAGCGAAAUGCGAUAAGUAAUGUGAAUUGCAGAAUUCAGUGAAUCAUCGAAUCUUUGAACGCACAUUGCGCCCCCUGGUAUUCCGGGGGGCAUGCCUGUUCGAGCGUCAUUUCACCACUCAAGCCUCGCUUGGUAUUGGGCAACGCGGUCCGCCGCGUGCCUCAAAUCGACCGGCUGGGUCUUCUGUCCCCUAAGCGUUGUGGAAACUAUUCGCUAAAGGGUGCUCGGGAGGCUACGCCGUAAAACAAACCCAUUUCUAAGGUUGACCUCGGAACAGGUAGGGAUACCCGCUGAACUUAAGCAUAUCAAUAAGCGGAGGA
rnacentral:misc_RNA from 1 species